AUUGAACGCUGGCGGCAGGCCUAACACAUGCAAGUCGAACGAGUGGCGGACGGGUGAGUAAUGUCUGGGAAACUGCCUGAUGGCGGGGGAUAACUACUGGAAACGGUAGCUAAUACCGCAUACCAUCAGAUGUGCCCAGAUGGGAUUAUCUUGGUGGUGGGGUAACGGCUCAACAAGGCGACGAUCCCUAGCUGGUCUGAGAGGAUGACCAGCCACACUGGAACUGAGACACGGUCCAGACUCCUACGUGAGGCAGUAGUGGGGAAUAUUGCACAAUGGGCGCAAGCCUGAUGCAGCCAGGCCGCGUGUAUGAAGAAGGCCUUCGGGUUGUAAAGUACUUUCAGCGGGGAGGCGUUACCCGCAGAAGAAGCACCGGCUAACUCAGUGCCAGCAGCCGCGGGAAUUC
rnacentral:rRNA from 1 species